GACGAACGCUGGCGGCGUGCUUAACACAUGCAAGUCGAACGGAGUGGCGAACGGGUGAGUAACACGUGGGUGAUCUGCCUUGCACUUCGGGAUAAGCUUGGGAAACUGGGUCUAAUACCGGAUAGUGCAAGAUGAGCUCGCGGGCUAUCAGCUUGUUGGGGGGGUAAUGGCCUACCAAGGCGUCGACGGGUAGCCGGCCUGAGAGGGUGUACGGCGACAAUGGGACUGAGAUACGGCGCAGACGCCUACGGUGGGCAGCAGGGGCGAAUAUGGCACAAUGGGCGGAAGUCUGAGGCAGAGACGCCGGGUGGGUGAUGAAGGCUUGCGGGUGGUAAACUCCUUUCGACAGGGACGCGGUACCUGUAUAAGAAGCACCGGCUAACUACGUGCCAGCAGCCGCGGUAAUAC
rnacentral:rRNA from 1 species